GGAAUACCACAUGAUUUGGUUUUGAUUGGUUCAGGAUCAGAAACUGAUAACUGUUACUUUUCAAAGGGAACUACUGUCACCUGAAGCGAAUUGUGUGCUAGAAAAAACCACCAACACAGCUAACACUACCACUGUACAAAAGCCCAUCGAUUCAUAUUAUUUUGGUAAUGUGUAAGUUGUGCUAUUGUUAUUUUGGUCAGGCAGUUAAUUGGCCACCUAUGGCUGAGCACUAUAAAGCUGAGGUUUCAUUAGGACCUCUUCCUUUUCUGGCAUCUUCAGGAGUGGGAUCGAAGUCCAGCUGUUGCAGGCUGACUGUUGAAGUAAUUUGAUUCUUUUGUGUUUGAUGGUGUGCGUGCAUCUAGUGAACCACACACAUAAAUACAUACAAACUCUGAUCACACAUUGAUCAUUCUUACUCUGUGUUGUGGGUGUGAAGACUCAAUAAAGACUCAUUUCUUUGGA